rnacentral:rRNA from 1 species
GACGAACGCUGGCAGCGUGCUUAACACAUGCAAGUCGAACGGAAAGGCCCUGCUUUUGUGGGGUGCUCGAGUGGCGAACGGGUGAGUAACACGGGAGUAACCUGCCCUGGACUUUGGGAUAACUUCAGGAAACUGGGGCUAAUACCGGAUAGGAGCUCCUGCUGCAUGGUGGGGGUUGGAAAGUUUCGGCGGUUGGGGAUGGACUCGCGGCUUAUCAGCUUGUUGGUGGGGUAGUGGCUUACCAAGGCUUUGACGGGUAGCCGGCCUGAGAGGGUGACCGGCCACAUUGGGACUGAGAUACGGCCCAGACUCCUACGGGAGGCAGCAGUGGGGAAUAUUGCACAAUGGGCGGAAGCCUGAUGCAGCAACGCCGCGUGCGGGAUGACGGCCUUCGGGUUGUAACCCGCUUUCGCCUGUGACGAAGCGUGAGUGACGGUAAUGUGUAAAGAAGCACCGGCUAACUACGUG